GCACUCUCACAUAUAACCUUUGGGUUAAAAUGUGGAAUUGGGAUGCGCGGGUUAUUAUAACGGCCCACCUAAAAUUCAGUUCUUGGCUGCUCCCUACUACAGCAGUUUGGCCUAAUAGUUUUGAGUCUUCGAUUCAAAUUUUUGGCUAACAUUUGCUUCAGGAUGUCAGUCUUGAUAUACAGAAAUCUCAUUCAAA
rnacentral:misc_RNA from 1 species